rnacentral:lncRNA from 1 species
AAGCUAGAGUAGAAAUUGGAUGGCAAGGGAAAAUUUGAGCUAGAAUAAAACAACAAGUUUCAGAAGCCAUAGUUAAUGAGAUACACAGGCCACGUGUCCUUGAUUACACAGGCCAAUGAGCUACUGUACUGUUAUUUCAAAUUUUGUUGCAAUCAGUCCUAACCAAAUUCCUCGCUACUGUGUACUGCAUUUUCUGUAUACAAAUUGAGCAUGCAGCCAUUAUGAACAGGAGCAUGUCGUGAAGAAUAAAUGGGACAAGCACGUGCAGUUUUUUCUAAUCCAUAA